rnacentral:misc_RNA from 1 species
GGAAGGAUCAUUAACACGAUUCUUCAAUAAUCUUAACCUUGUGUUUACACGUUACUCUGUCUUUUUUAAAACCUUUUUAAUUGUUUUUGUUUCGGAUUUGCUUGCAAAUCUGACAAACAAUCUAAAUUGAAAAACAACUGCUAACAUUGGAUGUCUUGGUUCUCGCAACGAUGAAGAACGCAGCGAAAUGCGAUAUGUAAUGUGAAUCGUAGAAUCCGUGAAUCAUCAAAUCUUUGAACGCAAAUGGCACUCUCGGGUAUUCCCGGGAGUAUGCCUGUUUGAGAAUCAUUUUCUUAUCUCGUUUUCAAAUAUUUUGUUUGAGAACGGUAAAUGAGCGUCACUCUAACAAGGUGUCGUUCCAAGUAUUGCGCUGGGCAGCCACAGAAGAAAUCUAGGUGAUUUAAUUGCUCAAGGUUUCUUUUUCUGCGGUCGCAUUAACCAGUGCUUUCCUUAAUUUAAUAUUCAUACCAUUAUCUCAAAUCAGGCAAGGCUACCCGCCGAAUUGAAGCAUCUCAAUAAGCGGAGGAAAAGAAACUAACUAGGAUUCCCUUAGUAACGGCGAGUGAAGCGGGAACAGCUCAAUCUUUAAACCGGGGAGCUUCGCUCUUCGGGUUGUAGAUUAGAGAGGCGCUUUCGAGGGAAAUCUCAGGUAUAAGUCUCCUGGAAAGGGGCGUCAUAGAGGGUGACAAUCCCGUAUAUGAUCUGGGCAUUUCUCUCAUACGAGGCGCUUUCGCAGAGUCGAGUUGCUUGGGAGUGCAGCUCUAAACGGGUGGUAAAUUUCAUCUAAAGCUAAAUAUUGGCGAGAGACCGAUAGCGAACAAGUACCGCGAGGGAAAGAUGAAAAGAACUUUGAAAAGAGGGUCAAAAGGGCCUGAAAUUGUUAGCAGGGAAACGAUUAAAACUGGGCAUACGCUUGAGGAUAAGGUUGGGCAUUUGGGCGUUCCGUUGUUUCGGCGAUCGCAAGACGCUGGGGCUGCGCAAUUGCUCGAGGCCUGGCUUCUUUUCUUUAGGCGUGCGCCAACAUCAGCCAGGGCUUCAGGUGAAGUCCGUUGGGAAGGUAGGUUGGCCCUCAAAAGCUGACUGUUAUAGCCCAGCGGAACUACUGUUGGCUUGGCUGAGGAAUUGCAGCGCGCGCUUAGCUUGAGGCUCUUGGUCUGACCGUCUGUGGGUCACCGGACAGCCUAGCUGUGCGGGGUCCAUGGGCGGCCAUUCUGGGAAGUCUUUCAUACGCGCGCUCAAGAUGUUGGCACAACGGUUUUAACCGACCCGUCUUGAAACACGGACCAAGGAGUCUAACAUAUAUGCGAGUAUUUGGGUGGUAAACCCAAGUGCGGAAUGAAAGUAAAACUUGGUGCGAGCCUUGGCUCAGCCUUGGUGCAGCACCGACCGAUCUGGAGGUUUUCUGAAAGAUUUGAGUAAGAGCAUAUCUGUUGGGACCCGAAAGAUGGUGAACUAUGCCUGAAGAGGAUGAAGCCAGAGGAAACUCUGGUGGAGGUCCGUAGCGAUUCUGACGUGCAAAUCGAUCGUCAAAUUUGGGUAUAGAGGCGAAAGACUAAUCGAACCAUCUAGUAGCUGGUUCCCUC